UGGGGGAUAUUGCACAAUGGGGGGAACCCUGAUGCAGCGACGCCGCGUGAGUGAAGAAGUAUUUCGGUAUGUAAAGCUCUAUCAGCAGGGAAGAAAGAAAUGACAGUACCUGACUAAGAAGCCCCGGCUAACUACGUGCCAGCAGCCGCGGUAAUACGUAGGGGGCAAGCGUUAUCCGGAUUUACUGGGUGUAAAGGGAGCGUAGGCGGUACGGCAAGUCAGAAGUGAAAGCCCGGGGCUCAACUCCGGGACUGCUUUUGAAACUGUCGGACUAGAGUGUCGGAGAGGUAAGUGGAAUUCCUAGUGUAGCGGUGAAAUGCGUAGAUAUUAGGAGGAACACCAGUGGCGAAGGCGGCUUACUGGACGAUGACUGACGCUGAGGCUCGAAAGCGUGGGGAGCAAACAGG
rnacentral:rRNA from 1 species